rnacentral:lncRNA from 1 species
CACACACGCACACGCACACACAAGCGACAGAGUUAUUCAAGCGCCACCUCUCGUGGCCUCCAGACGCGCGCGCAACACCUUACACCUAGACGUGCAGGCCGCAGCAGCCUCAGAUGGAGAUGCUGUUGGGGAUGCCCUUGGCGGUGAGCCCGGCGGCGGCGCCCGUGGUGUCGGAGGUGUUGGGAUACAGCAGCGUGUAGGGGAACUCGGCGGGCCCGCUCCGGUUCUUCAGCUGCGGGUCGCGGUUCUCGGCCACCACCUUGCCCUCGAUCUCCACCAGCGCGUCGCUGAACCGCUUGAACGCCGCGAGCGCCCUGGCGUCCGAGGUCCACUCCGGGGUGUCGCGCUGGCCCAGGUACACCUCGUCGGAGGAGUGCUUGGAGAGGACCUCGAUGAGCGAGAUGCCGAUGAUGGUCUGGAUCUGGCUGGUGAUGGUGUGGAUGAACCCCAGCUCCGGGUCGCGCUCCAGCUCCGCGUACGCCUCCGUGCCGGGCUCCGGCAUCCGGCGCCGGCUCACCGUGGGCCGGUUCGGGAGGUACCCCGCGUAGGGGUACUGCCCGAAGUUGACGGCCGCGUGCAGCGCCGACGCGAUCCAGAUGAUGGUGGUGCAGGCGCUCGCGAGCUCCGUCACGGCCUGCAUCCGCGGCCACCAGGGCGCGUCUUUGAGGUCGCCGUGCCCGACCUCGCGCACCUCCUUCCACCAGGCCUGCAGCUCCGCGUCGCCCUGCAGCGUGGCGUCGUUGGGGUAGUAGAUGGCCAGGUACUCGCCCACCCACCGCUCGAUGGCGUGCCAGAUGGCCAGACCGUCGCUCGCGUACGGGUAGUCCUGGAUCAGCAGCCGCACCUUGUAGGGGCUCGACGGGUCCGGCACCGCCACGCCGCGCUUGACGAGGUCGGCCGGGAGGCCCUGCUCGGUGAAGUUCCAGUCCUUGUACACCACGGAGGACAUGGUGAGCGCGUACUUGCCCGGGAACACGGUCAUCUCGAAGAUGCCGCCGCCGUUGAUGAGAGUCUGCCGCGCCAGCGCGUUGAUGGUCAUCGUGUCGCGAUAGUGCGGGUGCAGGAGCUUGUGCACCGGGUGCGUCACGCUCAGCUGCCGGUUCGUCGCGAUCACGAACGGCUCCAUCACCGCGUGUGUGUUCAGCCUGAGAUCGAUCGAUUAAUUUCAGGAUUAAUCAUUGUAUGAGUAGUAAAUUCAUCCGCACAUGCAAAACAAGUGAUAUUGUCAGUUCGUACCAGUGGCUGAUGAGCUGGUGCCAGCCGGAGUCGUUGACGGCGACGUAGGCCUUGGCGAGCUGCCAGAUCCACGCCUCGACGCCGCUGGACGCCGGCGUGUAGACCUUGCUCUUGGCCUUGGUCAGGCCGCCGUCGAUGUAGGGCUCGCUCAGCUCGAUGGCGAGCGGGGUCAGCCUGCCGUCGCCGCGCAGGAAGAAGAGCGUCCGGGUGGCGUAGAUGAAGUUGCCCUCCAGGUUGUUGACGUCGAUCAGGAACGGCAUGAACCGGUCGUGGUGGUCCAGGAUGAAGAGCCGGUUGCCGUCCAGCGCCUGCUGCACCGUGAGGCCCUCGAGGCUCUUCUCGAUGUGCUCCGCCGUGAUGGUGCUGGUCUGGUCGCCGUACUUGCUGGGAUCCAGAGUGCUCUUGGGAGGGAACUCCUGCGAUCGAACAGCGACAGACGUUCGUCAGGCGCAUUUCAUUUCCUUUGAUUUCCACGUGGUGAAUCCAGUCAUCCACACACGCUUGCAUUGCAUUCAUAGUCUCUGCAGAAGUAAGUUGGCUCACCGUGAGGCGCGUGAUCAUCAUCGGGUUAACGCCGGCGAGCACCUCGCGCGCGAACUCCUCAUCGGUCCUCCACGCAUUCUUGUCCUCUGUUCCACACAGAACGCAACGCAAACAUUCAGUCAGCUCGUCGACCAGCUUCUCGCUGUGCCAUCAUGCACUCAACAGUCAACAGCAUGAUACUUUGAUGAUGUGCGGGAUCUUGGAUACACGUGCCUUUGAUGAUGUGCGGGAUGGGGAGCUUGAGGAGGUAGUCGCCGCCGGCGGGGAGGAGGUCCUUGACGAGCUGGAGCGGGAAGAGCUUGCGCAUGUCCUCGAGCGCCUGGAUCUUGGGCAGCUUGAUGCCGCCCUCGUAGAGGUUGAUGAUGUCCUGGAACGAGUCGAACUCGCCGGGGGUGGUGUCCACGUACGUGCGCACCGCCGGCACGAUCCCCUGCGUGAUGGCCUUGAUCGCGUACCCCAGGAAGUCCGACAUCUUGAGGUGCCCGAAGCGCUCGUCACGGGGCACGUAGAUCUGCUCCACCAGCGACAGCCGGCUCUCCGAGUUGGGGUCUGCGGCCAAAGUCAACGUCAGCCAACCCAACCCUGCAGCUAGUACUCUCUCUGACAGUGGGUCCACCUGGCGUCUGGAUGGACCCACGUGUCAUCGGAAGUAGUAAUAUGUCGCCGAAAACAAACAAAUAAUCAAGCGCGCGCGCACCGGUGGUGGUGGGCUUGCGGCCGGUUCGGCACCGGCGAGGGUAGGGGUGGUCGUCCGAGCCGCCGAGGACGGGGCGCGGGUUGCCACGGUCGGGCUCGCCGAGGUCGUUGUAGACGUCGUAGCGGUAGACGCGGUCGUGAUCCUCGUAGGGGCCCUGCUGGUCGUCGCCGCGGAGGUUGCGUAGCUCGUCGUCGCGGUAGGGCUUCAGCGCCGCCGGCAUCUGGCUCGGCAGGUACGUCUGCGGCGGCGUCCGGCACAGGAGACAAAGAUGAGCAUAUUAUUUUUUUAUAUAUAAAAAAACACAAAAAUCAACAUGUUGACUGACUGACUGACUUUUACUUAACCAUCCCUGAUUCGUUGAUUGAUACUACUCCUUAUUAAUUACUCUAUCUUCGACAGAAAAAGGCACAAAUGUUAACAGCUGAUUUGCUAGACGACCAAGACUUAGACCGGACCAACUCGAUCGAUCAUCAUGACCUUUUACCAUCUCGAAAGUGAACUCGAGUGCAUUGGCAUCAAUCGUUUCGAAAAGUUUCUCGGGGGGACGAAACGGACGUGCUGCUAGUCACGUGAAUCCACAUGCCUCUCUCUGCGUGUCAGAACUCAGGAGAUCAUUCCAGUCCCUAGCACUAGAUUUUUCAACUACCGUGGCAGUUGCACUGGUGCCACUCCAUUGAAUUCUCUUCACCACACCAUAAUAUCCUUUCAUACCUACGCCAAUCGACACAUAGUCCCAGUACGUACUAGCAAUAAUCUUAGAAAAUCCAUACUGAUAAGACAUGAGAUAAACUACUUGUUAGAACUGUGAGUCGUGAGAAAGACUUUCAACAGGUACGGGCAGGAAUGUCGUCGGCGUCGGCGACUUACAUCGUUGGAGAAGAAGACGCGGUUGUAGCGAUACUUGUCGACGGGGUAGACCCAUGAGUUGGCGACGAAGGUCACGGCACCGCGCCCCGGCACCUCGUCGAGGGUGAUGGUCUUGAGGAAGAACUCGGCGGAGUGGUAGUUCUUGACGAUGAUGGCGCCCGGCACGCCCAGCUUCUCCACCUCCCAGUCGAAGGCGACGCCGAACUUGGACUCGCCCGUCGUCAGCGACGGCAGGCUCGUCAGCCACUGCUCCAGGUUCGCCUCCGCGCCCACCCUGCCGCGGUUGCCGUUGUCUGCACACACAGAGCACGCAUCGGCGCGCGAGAGGGAUGGGAGGCCGGCGGUGAGCGAGAGCACGUCGCGUGUCGGCCGGCGUGUCGCGCAUGCACGCGUCGCCAGGAGAUUACUUUGGGGGGCAUAGUAAACUGAUAAAGAAUCUAGUUCAAAGUGAAAAGUGGUUUCUGAUCUCUUGAUUUUUGAGCUGCAACUGUGUGUGUCUUUUUUACUUUGUCACGAGCAAGCCAGCAUCUGGUGCUCUGUAUUCAAGCUGAAGCUACAGGCUUUGCUGUCUUUUUCUCGGUGUUGCUCUCGAUUCUUUACAUGUCCCGUCCAAGAUGACCGAGGGCCGAGGCAAAGCUAGCCGAGCCAUGGCCACCCAAAUAGUGCUUUUACUUUGUAUGGUGAAAGAAAAAAACAUGCUAGCUACAGAGGGACAAGCCAAUCAAGAUCGAGGCUCUCUAUCUAGAGAGAUGGAAGGAAGGAAAUGAGGGCGGUGCUCACAGGGGUCGACGAGGGUGGAGCUGAUGAGCUGGCAGGUGACCCCCUUGCCGAGGAACUCGCUGAUGCCGUCGAUGACGGUGGCGCCGAAGUCGUUGAGGUCGAGCACGUUCUUGCGCAUGAGCACCACCGUGCCCUUGAGCCGCGCAUUCUUGUUCGCCCCCGUCAGCCCGUCGAUGAU